GGGCUCGUAGCUCAGGGGCAGAGCGGUCGGCUCAUAACCGAUUGGUCGCAGGUUCGAAUCCUGCCGAGCCCA
rnacentral:tRNA from 1 species